rnacentral:lncRNA from 9 species
CGCCAUGUAAAGCGGCUCCUCGAGACCCCCUUCCCACUUCGCUCCGCAAACGUGUCUCUUAUGACUCAGCCCAGCCCGCUCUUUGCCAAGCGGCUGACGCUCGCGGCGGAGGCGCCGGGGCCGCCGCUCGGGGGCGAGGGCUCGUGCUCCUCCCGCUUUACGGCUGCUGAAAACCCGGCCCGCGCCCGGCAGCCGUACCGCAGACGAGCUCGCGCCCGCGCCGCUCAGAUCUCCCAGCUGGACAUUGGAAAUAGCUUUUGAUGGUUUAGGGCCUCUUUCAUUUGACCCCAGGAAAUGAGCUUUGACUGUUAGUCACCUGGAUGAAGAGCCCUGAGUUUAGCUCGUCAGAGUCUUGUAACCUGCAAAGACCCUCUGGUUGUACAAGGAUCGAUCGAUUGAACAACAGUUUUUGGAUGGGAGAACAUUGUCCAGUAACAAACAGUUGGAAGGCAGAGGCACUUACCUUCUUCCUUUCUGGAUCAACUUUCUUCAAGUAAGAAUCUUUACACACGGUGGGAGCUCAAUAAAUGCUGUUGAUGGAUACACCUAGACAAGUAAAACAAAUAUGUCUUACUUGAGCCUGAAAUCUUUUUUUGGCACACAGUAAAAGAGCCAUGCAACUCUUAUAACUUUACAUAGAGAUAUUCUACAGGUUUACAAAGUAUGUAUGAAAAUUGGCCUGAGGAUGUUGGGUGUCCUCCUAAAGGGUGUGUAAGUGGGGUAAUGAUACUGGAAAUAGAAACUGAGAUUCUAUGUAAUGCUUACUACUCCCAGCAUGCUGACAGACCUCAUGAGAAUGCCCAUGCCUAGGUAGUAGGCUUUAAAGACUCACACCUUUGUUAACACUGCAGCUCCAUAGCAUAGUUUCUUAUUGAAACCUUAAGAAUAACAUUGAACCAUAUGCUCCAUCCACUCCCCAGGUGAUUGAAACCUUCCCAAAUUCCACUUACCUCAUUGUGAACUGGCAAACUAAUUUGUACUCCCUCAGCCAUGAAAUUUGCUACUCAGAAAACUACAUAUUCAUAAUUUGAGAAACUGGAAUGAUGUGUUGUAACUGACAGAUGAUCUAGUCUCUAGGCACUUAUUGCUUUUGGUUUUACUUAUUGAAGGUGGAAGAGAUUUCUCUCAUUUCAAUGACGGAUUUUUAUAUACUUUUUAUAAUUCUGGUGGCAGUGUGAUAAAAUUAAAAAAUUAUUGAUUCAGUUGCAAAGGACUUCAUUGAUCACCAUGCAUGAUAAACCUGCAUUGUUGUUUACACAUAAUAUACAUAUUUAAAGGCAUAAUUCAUUUCAGAGUACACAGCACAAUAUGCGAUCAAAGUAAAACCUUUUUUUAAAAAUUUCCCCUUAAAUUACUUUAGGUCAAAAGAAAUGAAAAUAGGUUUGGAAAGUAGUGGUAAGCCAUAUGUUAUCAGAAAUUAAGUAAUUAAAGUUUAUUGCUUUAUAUACUUUAAUUUCAAUUACAAUAAUAAUAAAGUGAUUAUGUAAUUUUUCAAUUAUUAUAAUCUUUUCAAGGGUCACAAUGCUGCAGUUUCCUCUUUGAUAACUUGGGCAUGAGCUUAGAAACCAUUGUCCUACCUCCUUGUAAGGACCCUCUUUCUAUGAAAAAUAGAUGAGUAGAAUAUUUUGGCCAAAACAUAUAUGUAUUUUAUAGUUUAUCUUUGUAGCACAUAAAAAAUUAUGACAACCUUUUCCCACCAAGUGUUCUCCUUUCUCUGUUCUAACACAAGUAUGUGGUUGAAACUAAUAAAUAAAACUGGAACUCUAGCCCCUGAAAUGAUUAGAGUUUGAAAAUAUUGAAAAAAUAUAUUUAUACUUAAAAGAUUGUUAACUAUUUGACAUAGAAAAGCAGCAGCACACUUUCUGAAGAUUACGGAAGUCAAAUGCACCUAAUAAUAUUGAAUGUAGGCCUGUGAAAACUAGGUCUACUGUGAGAAAACAAUAACGUGGCUGUUAAAUUGUACUAUUUUGUGUUGAUUAGAGAUUGGAUUUCCUGAAGGAUUGAAAGUUAAAGGAAUAAAAAAAAAAA